GGGCCUGGAGUCCAAAGGCACAGCUACAAAAGAACAUAGCACCCUUCUUCGAAGGAGACACCAUCACGGAGACUCGGAUACAGCGCUGCUUCUGCCUGCCAAACACCAGCAUUCCAUCAAUCACCAAGGAACAUCGCAUGAUAUUUUUAAAAUGCAUCACCAAUCACCAAGGAACAUGUACCUGUUUCAACUGGCUCCUGUAAAUAGAUUUUUUUUUCCUUAUGCCUAUUUUUUUUACUUGUUAUAACGGUGUGCUUGCUAGAAAAAUAGAUGUGACUAGCUUGUUGUUUCUUUUUUAAGUGAUAUGUGUUACAUUGGAUGCAUUUUAAUACUGACCAUAUCUUUUGCAUGUUCAUAUUAUUGCAAGAACUGUUACAAUUAUUAGUUGAAUCUCCAGGGCGAGGAUCUUUUGCAGUCCUCAUUGAUUGUAAACUCAAGUGCUACAUGUUGAGGAAAAGAAUAGAGGAUAUACUCGGAAGAUCAAUUGAUCUAUUUACACUGCGUGCAGGAGGACAAUAUCUUCAAGAUAAUGUUACUCUCAAAGACUACAAACUGUCUUAUAAUGCAACUGUCCAGUUAAUGUUACGACUCCUCGGAGGGGCUGAUAGUCCGCCUUCAAGAAAAAGGUCUCGUCAAGAAUUGAGUCUUAGAUUUGACGA